AGUCUUGGCUGAUAGCAUGGAGAUUGCGUCUAUAAGGCUUCUAUUGUAACCAGCCUGUAGGUUCCUGGUAGCACACAGCGAAACAAUUCUUUGCAGUAUAAGAUUUAACUGCUGUCAAAAUGCAUUGCAUGAUGA